GCAGAACUGGGUUCGAUUCCCUGCACCCACAUGGAAGUUACAGGCGUUUGCAACUCAUCCUGGGGAUCCGAUGCCCUCUUCUGGACCCCAAAAGCGCUGCAUCCAUUCUGUGUACAGACAUGUCCGCCAACCCUUUGGUUGAUUCUUCAUCUUGGUUCUUGGUUCUUAUGACACAGGUGCUGUUGGACAUCCAUUCAGAACUUCUUGUUUUUAGCAUGUAGAAGUGAGCUGUGGCUGCCCAGAGUGAGGCUCCUGUGUUAGCCAGUACAACCCGCCUUCCCUGUUCAUCCCUUUAUUCCUCCACCCAUGCUUCCUGGGAUCAAGUCCUGAAGUGACUCUGCUCCUCAAUGCCAGCUCUGGGGACUUGAAAUGAACACAA